rnacentral:rRNA from 1 species
GACGAACGCUGGCGGCGUGCCUAAUACAUGCAAGUCGAGCGAAGUUUUUCUGGUGCUUGCACUAGAAAAACUUAGCGGCGAACGGGUGAGUAACACGUAAAGAACCUGCCUCAUAGACUGGGACAACUAUUGGAAACGAUAGCUAAUACCGGAUAACAGUAUUUCUCGCAUGAGAGAUAUUUAAAAGUUGGUUAUGUUAACACUAUGAGAUGGCUUUGCGGUGCAUUAGCUAGUUGGUGGGGUAAAGGCCCACCAAGGCGACGAUGCAUAGCCGACCUGAGAGGGUGAUCGGCCACACUGGGACUGAGACACGGCCCAGACUCCUACGGGAGGCAGCAGUAGGGAAUCUUCCGCAAUGGGCGAAAGCCUGACGGAGCAACGCCGCGUGAGUGAAGAAGGAUUUCGGUUCGUAAAGCUCUGUUGUUAGGGAAGAAUGGAUAUGUAGUAACUAUACAUGUAAGAGACGGUACCUAACCAGAAAGCCACGGCUAACUACGUG